AUUGAACGCUGGCGGCAGGCCUAACACAUGCGAGUCGAGCGGAUGAAGGGAGCUUGCUCCUGGAUUCAGCGGCGGACGGGUGAGUAAUGCCUAGGAAUCUGCCUGGUAGUGGGGGAUAACGUCCGGAAACGGGCGCUAAUACCGCAUACGUCCUGAGGGAGAAAGUGGGGGAUCUUCGGACCUCACGCUAUCAGAUGAGCCUAGGUCGGAUUAGCUAGUUGGUUGGGUAAAGGCCUACCAAGGCGACGAUCCGUAACUGGUCUGAGAGGAUGAUCAGUCACACUGGAACUGAGACACGGUCCAGACUCCUACGGGAGGCAGCAGUGGGGAAUAUUGGACAAUGGGCGAAAGCCUGAUCCAGCCAUGCCGCGUGUGUGAAGAAGGUCUUCGGAUUGUAAAGCACUUUAAGUUGGGAGGAAGGGCAGUAAGUUAAUACCUUGCUGUUUUGACGUUACCAACAGAAUAAGCACCGGCUAACUUCGUG
rnacentral:rRNA from 1 species